GGAUGUAUGGCCGAGUGGUUUAAGGCACCAGUCUUGAAAACUGGCAUAGAGAAAUCUAUCUAGGGUCCGAAUCCCUAUGCAUCCG
rnacentral:tRNA from 1 species